rnacentral:lncRNA from 1 species
GAAGCCCUGGCCAGGGACAGGGGAGUGCAAGGGAAGGCUCGGUGACCCAGGCACAUGGUGCAAACCUAGGACCUCCACCUCCCAGCUCUGUAGCCAGGGGCAGCUCACUCCACCCUGGUCCCUGGAGUGUGCUUACAGGCUUCCGUGUUGGGGGGCUGCGAGGCCUGGGCAGCAAACCGCCUUGUACUGCCUCUGGCCUGUGGAUAGUAGAUGCUCAAUAAACCUCUCCUUCCUGUCAGAAACUCAGUCUCCCUAUGUGGAUGACAGCAUUUUCCUAAAGGAUCUAAAGUUCCAUCCACCUUAAACUCUGCCUGAAGGGAAGACUAUGAAACUAGAAAAGAAAAUGGUGUGGAUUUGUGUGCUACUGCAGACACUGCUGCGACAUAUAUUAAGGAGCAUGGAACGGAACCGCGUGGAUGAUAAAGUCUGCGUGGUGUUUACAAAGGAAUAUUCAUAAGCACUUUCUGAGAAGCCCCGUGCAGCUGCUAACAGUGACUGCCUAGGGGAAAAUGGACUUGAAGGAGUAGAGGCCAACUUUUCAUUUUAUACCUUUCUAUACUUUUUAGGACUACCACCUAUGUACGUGCAUUUUAUUUUUGUUAAAUGUUCGCAGGGGAUAUCUGGCAGGACAAGGAACUGGCUGGAAAGGGGCGCGAGGAGAUCUUCUGGGUGACGGAGAUCCAGGUGGUGGUUACUCAGAUGUAUUUUAUCCUUCAAUGAGAAGUUUAUUUCGAAAACGUCCUGUGUCUCUUCCAAAGAUAGCUCCAGCUGGGCAAAGUGGCAGCUCUGUGGGCUCCAACGGAAGAGGCCAAAAGGCCCAUCCUCCUCCUGUCCCCUGGGUUCAAUUCACAGCCCUGCCUGUCUCUAGCUGUGUGAUCCUGGACGUGCCUCUCUGCUUCCUCAGCUCCUGCUUCAAGACAGGCCUAACCAAAUUUUGAGAAGUCCCCAGCAGAGCUCCCGACCCUAAUCAGAGAAGAAGAAUGAAUGUUCUGAGUGGGUACCACAUGGCAGGUGCUAUUCUAAAUACUGAACAGCUGUGAACCCAUUUAAUCCCCGUAAGAAACUGGUGAGCUUGGUUUCAUUUGACUCAAGAGGCCCAGAGACGAAAGCAACUGGUCCAGGGUCACACAGCCAGCAGGAAGUGGAUCAGGGUUGGAACCUGGGCAGUCUGGCCCUGAAGCGCUGCAGAAAGUAUUAUUUUGGGAGCAAAUAGGUAAUAGGUGGUGAGAGCCACCUAAAAAUACCCCUCCUCUCUGGCCCAGUAACCACUUCUAGAAAUCUGCCCUAAACAAGUAACUCAAAUAAAGCGAAAGCUGAGAUA